rnacentral:rRNA from 1 species
AGCGGCGAACGGGUGAGUAACACGUGAGUAACCUGCCCCUAGCUCUGGGAUAGCUCCGGGAAACCGGGAUUAAUACCAGAUAUGACCACUUUAGACAUCCGCUGUGGUGGAAAGAAUUUCGGCUAGGGAUGGGCUCGCGGCCAUCAGCUUGUUGGUGGGGUAACGGCCUACCAAGGCGACGACGGGUAGCCGGCCUGAGAGGGCGACCGGCCACACUGGGACUGAGACACGGCCCAGACUCCUACGGGAGGCAGCAGUGGGGAAUAUUGCGCAAUGGGCGAAAGCCUGACGCAGCGACGCCGCGUGGGGGAUGAAGGCCUUCGGGUUGUAAACCCCUUUCAGCAGGGACGAAGCGAGAGUGACGGUACCUGCAGAAGAAGCGCCGGCUAACUACGUGCCAGCAGCCGCGGUAACACGUAGGGCGCAAGCGUUGUCCGGAAUUAUUGGGCGUAAAGAGCUCGUAGGCGGUCUGUUGCGUCCGCUGUGAAAUCUCGGGGCUUAACCCCGAGCCUGCAGUGGA